GGAGAUAUGGCUCAGUUGGCAGACUGCCUGCCUCCUAUGCACAAGACCCUGGGUUCAAUCCCCAGCACCACCA
rnacentral:tRNA from 1 species